UUUCAGCCCCUGCGUGGCUUCUCUGUGCAGUCUUUUCUUCUGGGACCUGCACAGGAAGGCCACGGAGGGGCCGGAG
ensembl:miRNA